CCUACGGGAGGCAGCAGUGAGGAAUAUUGGUCAAUGGGCGCGAGCCUGAACCAGCCAAGUCGCGUGAGGGAAGACGGUCCUAUGGAUUGUAAACCUCUUUUGUCGGGGAGCAAAAGCCGCCACGUGUGGCGUUCCGAGAGUACCCGAAGAAAAAGCAUCGGCUAACUCCGUGCCAGCAGCCGCGGUAAUACGGAGGAUGCGAACGUUAUCCGGAUUUAUUGGGUUUAAAGGGUGCGCAGGCGGAAGAUGAAGUCAGCGGUAAAAUUGAGAGGCUCAACCUCUUCGAGCCGUUGAAACUGGUUGUCUUGAGUGAGCGAGAAGUAUGCGGAAUGCGUGGUGUAGCGGUGAAAUGCAUAGAUAUCACGCAGAACUCCGAUUGCGAAGGCAGCAUACCGGCGCUCAACUGACGCUCAUGCACGAAAGUGUGGGUAUCGAACAGGAUUAGAUACCCCAGUAGUC
rnacentral:rRNA from 1 species